GAGAAUCUGCCUUCAGGAGGGGGAUAACGACUGGAAACGGUCGCUAAUACCCCAUAUGCCUCCGGGUGAAAAGUAAUUCGCCUGAAGAUGAGCUCGCGUCAGAUUAGCUAGUUGGUGGGGUAAGAGCCUACCAAGGCGACGAUCUGUAGCUGGUCUGAGAGGAUGAUCAGCCACACUGGGACUGAGACACGGCCCAGACUCCUACGGGAGGCAGCAGUGGGGAAUUUUCCGCAAUGGGCGCAAGCCUGACGGAGCAAGACCGCGUGGGGGAUGACGGCCUAAUGGUUGUAAACCCCUUUUCUCUGGGAAGAAGACUGACGGUACCAGAGGAAUCAGCCUCGGCUAACUCCGUGCCAGCAGCCGCGGUAAUACGGAGGAGGCAAGCGUUAUCCGGAAUUAUUGGGCGUAAAGCGUCCGUAGGUGGUUAUUCAAGUCUGCUGUCAAAGCGUGGGGCUUAACUCCAUAGAGGCAGUGGAAACUGAGUGACUAGAGUGCCGUAGGGGUAGAGGGAAUUCCCGGUGUAGCGGUGAAAUGCGUAGAGAUCGGGAAGAACAUCGGUGGCGAAAGCGCUCUACUGGACGGCAACUGACACUCAGGGACGAAAGCUAGGGGAGCGAAUGGGAUUAGAUACCCCAGUAGUCCUAGCUGUAAACGAUGGAUACUAGGUGUAGCUUGUAUCGACCCGAGCUGUGCCGAAGCUAACGCGUUAAGUAUCCCGCCUGGGGAGUACGCACGCAAGUGUGAAACUCAAAGGAAUUGACGGGGGUCCGCACAAGCGGUGGAGUAUAUGUUGUAAUUCGAUGCAACUCGAAGAACCUUACCAAGGCUAUACAUGUCGAGAAUAUCGGUGAAAGCUGGGAGUGCCUUCGGGAGCCGAGAACACAGGUGGUGCAUGGCUGUCGUCAGCUAUUGUCGUGAGAUGUUGGGUUAAGUCCCGCAACGAGCGCAACCCUCGUCUUUAGUUGCCAGCAUUAAGUUGGGCACUAUAGAGAGACUACCGGUGACAAAC
rnacentral:rRNA from 1 species